UGAGAAAUCGUGUUUCGAUAAUUAUACAGUUGUAAAAUAUUGAGAAGUAGGAUAGAUUCACAUGAAGGUGGGCCACAGGAGAGCAUAGACUGUGCAAGUACGUCGAGGAAAGUCGUCCACAAGGAUUGCAUGGACACAGUACCUUCACUUAGAUCACAUGCGAAAUUUUCUAAUAGCCAAAUUUGGUUCCGAGGAGUCAAAAACGUAUGCAACGUGUCACAGAAGAGGUGAGUGCGGAUUUCUUUAAUCCAGCAGGAGCUCAGGGAGUGUUCUGCUGAAUCUGAAGAGAUGCCUUGUAUCCACCAGAUUUUUUUCCCUGUGAACUUUCUGGAGGGUGUUGCCACACUCUAGCGAUGGGAGAAUUAGUGCAAAUAUGAAUGGAACGUUUUAUAUAUGUAGACCAACUGCUGUCAAACAUUCUUCCGAACUUGAAAGACAAGUUAGCGUAGUCGACGCAUUUGGUGUUGUCAAAAGUCAAGUAAUCCGUGUAAACUUCAUAGUUGUCGCAGGAUUAGAACAACCGGUUUCGAUUGGACGAAAAUCCGAAGCCAGAAAUUCGAGGCUUCCGAAAGACUUGCACUAGUGUGAGACAAUGUUUUGGAUGAAAAUGUGUUUUAAAGAGCAAUGGAGGCGACAAUAAUUGUAAGGGGG
rnacentral:lncRNA from 1 species